rnacentral:tRNA from 1 species
GGGGGGUGUCUGGUGACGACUGCUGGCUUGCGACCCGCCAGUCCCGGGUUCGAUUCCCGGACCCUCCACCA